ACAAACUUAACAACUAGGUUGCUCUGUUUUGGCCAGCAUAGGAAGCAAGCCAGUAGGGAGCAGAGCUGUCGACAUGCUGGGGGUUGAUACCUCGUGAUCUUCCACCUUUAGCAAGGCUGUCUGCACAGACGUUCGAGGAUCUUGGAAUAUGGAUGAUGGAGAUAUCCAGGAAGGCCAGUGAUAGAGCUUUGAUCUCAUCGAUUUCAGCUGCCAUGGAGGGCCAAUCUUCUU
rnacentral:lncRNA from 1 species